AUUGAACGCUGGCGGCAGGCCUAACACAUGCAAGUCGAGCGAGCGGCGGACGGGUGUGUAAUGUAUGAGGAUCCGCCCGAGAGAGGGGGAUAAAUACUGGAAACGGUGGCUAAUACCGCAUACUAUCGUAUGCACACAUAUGGGAUUAGCUAGUAGGUGGGGAAAAGGCUCACAUAGGCGACGAUCUCUAGCUGGUCUGAGAGGAUGAUCAGCCACACUGGGACUGAGACACGGCCCAGACGCCUACGGGAGGCAGCAGUGGGGAAUAUUGCACAAUGGGCGCAAGCCUGAUGCAGCCAUGCCGCGUGUGUGAAGAAGGCCUUAGGGUUGUAAAGUACUUUCAGCGGGGAGGCGUUACCCGCAGAAGAAGCACCGGCUAACUCCGUGCCAGCAGCCGCGGUAAUUC
rnacentral:rRNA from 1 species